rnacentral:rRNA from 1 species
ACGGAAGGCAGCAGUGGGGAAUAUUGCACAAUGGAGGAAACUCUGAUGCAGCGACGCCGCGUGAGUGAUGAAGUAUUUCGGUAUGUAAAGCUCUAUCAGUAGGGAAGAUAAUGACGGUACCUAACUAAGAAGCACCGGCUAAAUACGUGCCAGCAGCCGCGGUAAUACGUAUGGUGCAAGCGUUAUCCGGAUUUACUGGGUGUAAAGGGAGCGUAGGUGGUUUGGCAAGCCAGAAGUGAAAACCCGGGGCUCAACCCCGUGGAUUGCUUUUGGAACUGUUGAACUAGAGUGCAGGAGGGGUAAGUGGAAUUCCCAGUGUAGCGGUGAAAUGCGUAGAUAUUGGGAAGAACACCGGUGGCGAAGGCGGCUUACUGGACUGUAACUGACACUGAGGCUCGAAAGCGUGGGGAGCAAACAGGAUUAGAUACCCUGGUA